rnacentral:lncRNA from 1 species
AUAUAUAUAUAUAUAUAUAACUUUAUAAACAUAAUUUACUACUUAGUUACAAUAUACAUUCAUACAAUUUAAGUGGCAUGACAUACUUAAUAUAUAUAAGAAAUAUUUAUACAGUAGUUUAAUUCACACAAGUUCCCAAAAUGCCCCAAUGCUUUAGAUAACUCCUCUGGCCCACCUGAUAAUAUUGACUGAUGCAAAAAGAGCAAUGCACAACUAAGGCUAUCUACAACUGCACUAACCUGAAAAAAAAAAUUGCUAAGGAAUGAGCUAGCGACUCAAUAAGCAUUUAAUUUACUAAACUAUAGUAUAUUAGGCUAGAAUUAUCAAAUCUUUAUCAAUACAGAAAAUUAUACCAACACUUAACUAACAAUCACAAAAUCAACCAUUUCAGUUAUUCUCAUAAACAUAUAAUUUCAUCUCACGUAAUGCAAAUAAUCUCAAACUCAACCAAGUCAAAUAAUUCAAUUCUACAUUAUUUCUAUCAAAUUAGGAUCAGAUGACUCAUCCUUACAUUUCCUCACAUUUUUAAAUUUCAGUAACCACUUGACAAGACUAUCCGCCCGGCUCAGUCUUGCCAUCUCACAUACUCGGGUAGCUAUCCGCCCGGCUCAGCUUUCCCGAUCACACAAUAUCCAUACAAAAGUCAUCAAUCCUUAAUCACAAUCAUUUCACUUCACAACACAUCACAAUCAAUUCACUUUAUAACAAGCCAAAAACAUAACUAAUAUCAACUCAGUCAACCAAGAAAUUAUCAAGUAAUCAAACAGCAGUCCCUACUCAAUAUACACAAAGUUUAGUCUAUUAAAUACUUACCAGAAGUUAUAGGAUAACAAAGUAAUCCUAUUCUUUUUCUCUUACCACUUCCUUGCCUUUGGAUGAACCUAUUCAUAUAUUCAAUACAAAUACAAUUCAAUCACAAGGCAUAAAUAUAUAUAUAUAUAUAUAUAUAUAUUUACUAUCAAUAAAAUAUCACAUUUCAACAAAAUAACAUAUAUUCUAGAUAUUAAUAUGAUGCAUGAGAUGAAUGACAACAAAUCAACAUAUUUGUUGAUGAAGGCAGCUUGUAGGUACUGACUUAGAAAUUACACCAAAACUUAUGUACAAUUAAUAAAAAUCUCAUAUUUUCCAGAAUUACACUUCCAUUUUUAUAGAAACCAUAGCAGAAAGAAUCACCUCAAAAUCAUUGGUAUAGAAAUAGUUAUGGCAUUUUCUAUACAGCUGCUCAAAUUUCCAUCUAAACAGAACAGAAAAAACGUUUCCUAUUAAAUGACCAAUCAAACAAAUGAAUUUUCUGAUGAAACUCUCCAGAUAUAAAGUUAACAUUCUAAAGUUUCUAUAGACACUAAUUUUACUCAAUUUGGACUUUUUUAGCUCAAGUUGUGAAACACACAAUUAGCAACAAAUUUCUGAAUCCUAAGCCCGAUUUCUGCUUAAAAUAGUUUCGGGCAGGCCAUAUUAAGUUCAACAUAUCUCACGUUAUACUCAACCAAAAAUUAUGAAAUUUUUCAGACAUAUACUACAUAUAUAAAUGAACAACUUUCAUGUUUAACUCUCUGCUUGGUUCAGCCUCUAAAUGCCUCAAAAUGUCAGCACAAAAACCAGGUCACCUGCUGAACCAAAAACAGAGCAGCAGCAAAAUCGAACCUCAUAAGUUCCUACUCACUCAACAAUCUGCAAAACCAUUUUACAGAGAUAUUCUUGAGACAUAUACCUACAACUUUCAUGUUUGAAAAUUUUCGAGAUAAAGUCUCUAAGGUCACGAAAUCAUAAGUGAAAAAUCUGCCCAGAAAUUUCAGCUUCAAGAUCACAAGUAAAAGCAUGUUUACUCUUGAUUAAACAAUUCCAAAACACAUAAUCAUCAACAAUUUCAUAUCAUUAACCCUAAUUUACAGCAAAAUCAAGCAAUUAAAAUUACUCACCUUUGUUUUCCUUGAUUAAGAAAGCCCAAAUCUUUCAAGCUUAAAAGAAGAAUUUGAUUUUCACUUACUAAAAGUUUUGUAGAGUUUGAUUUGGAAAAUCAAAGUUGAAGAAGGAAAGGAGAAAAAUGAGAGAGACAAAGAAGAAAAGGAAAUUGGAAAGCAUACGUAGAUAAGAACAAAUGAAAGAGGUGGUAUAUUGGUGUGGAAAUAGGCAAAUUACAAUUUAAUCCUCUUUCUUUCUAACUUUUCAAUUUAGUCCAAAAUCAUUACUUUUCAAUUAAAUCAAUAUGUAACUAAAUAAUUUAUUUAUCUACCACAUAAUAUAAUAAAAUAGAUCAUAUAUAAUCAUGAUGCAAAUGACAUGUUUAAUGACAUGCUAAUGAAUAUUAAUUAUUAAUAAAAAGAAGUAAAUAAAUUUGGUUGUGACAAUUCCUACCCACUUAAAAAAUUUCGUCCUCGAAAUUAACUAAUCGCCAACAGACAUGCCAAAUAAGCUCGGGUAUUUAUCCAUCAUAUGCUUCUCUACUUCCCAAGUUGCUUCCUUAGAUGAAUGUUGACUCCAUUUCACCUUUACCAUAGGAAUUUCCUUGUUUCUUAAUUUUCUAACCUGUCGGUUUAAUAUCUGAAUCGGUUCUUCAACAUAUGUGAGUUUCUCAGAAACUUCAAUUUCUGGUAUCUUGAUGACAUGGCUAGGAUCAGAUCGAUAUCGUCGAAGCAUAGAAACAUGGAAAACAUUAUGUACUUGAGCUAACUCUGGGGGUAAUGCAAGUCUAUAGGCUAAAGGACCAACCCGCUCUAAAAUCUCAUACGGCCCGAUAUAUCGAGGACUUAGUUUACCUUGUUUACCAAAUCGAAGGAUACCCCUCCAUGGUGAUACUCUCAAGAAAACCUUAUCCCCAACUUCAUACUCAAUUUCCCUUCUGUGUUUAUCUGCAUAGCUUUUCUGUCUAUCUUGUGCGGCCUUGAUACACUGCUUCGCAACUUGUAUCUUGUCUACUGUUUCUUGAAUAAUUUCAGGACCUUCCAAUUGUCUCAACCCUUCUACAUCCCAACAUAUAGGGCUUCUACAUUUUCUCUCAUAUAAUGCCUCGUAUGCUGGCAUACCAAUACUAGAAUGAAAACUAUUAUUAUAAGCAAAUUCCAUAAGUGGUACCUGUUCAUCCCAAUUUCCGCUAUACUCUAAUGCACAAGCCCGUAACAUGUCUUCAAAAGUUUGAAUAGUUCUCUCAGAUUGCCCAUCUGUUUGAGGAUGAAAAGCAGUACUGAAAUGCAAUUUAGUUCCCAUUGCCACUUGUAAGCUCUUCCAGAAAUGAGAUGUAAACCGAGGAUCCCUGUCUGAAACAAUGGAGAUAGGUACACCAUGCAACCUAAUAAUUUCUUUCACAUACAAGUUGGCUAGCUUAUCCAAUGAAUCAUUCUGUUGAAUAGGUAAAAAGUGCGCUGAUUUUGUUAACCUAUCAACUAUUACCCAAAUAGCAUCAUUUCUCCUAAAAGUGCGAGGCAAACCAACAACAAAGUCCAUAGUAAUUCUUUCCCAUUUCCACUCAGGUAUAAUUAAAGACUGUAAUUUACCUGCAGGUGAUUGAUGUUCUGCUUUCACUUGUUGACAAGUUAGGCAUUUAGCUACAUAUUCUGCAACUUCCCUCUUCAUGCCUGACCACCAAUAAUGUGGCUUCAAAUUGUUAUACAUUUUUGUACUCCCUGGGUGCAUUGAAUAAGGAGAAUUGUGAGCCUCCCAAAAAAUCUUUUGUUUCAAUGCGGCUACAUUAGGUACAUAUACCCUGGUUUUCAUAAUCCACAUUCCAUCAUCUCGCUCGAUUAGUUCACUUGUCUUACCAUCUUGCACCUUCUUCUGUAACUUCUUUAAGUAUGCAUCACUACCUUGUGCAUGUUUGAUCUCAUCUAGUAUCUGGGGACUAGUCUUCAUUGUAGUCAAUAAUACCCCAUUCUUUAUAGAAAAAUGCAUAUCCAUAGCUCUUAGCGAAAUUAAGGAACUCAUCUGAUAUGAAAUCAUACCUGCAACCCUUUCCAAAGUCUUCCUACUAAGUGCAUCUGCCACAACAUUUGNNNNNNNNNNNNNNNNNNNNNNNNNNNNNNNNNNNNNNNNNNNNNNNNNNNNNNNNNNNNNNNNNNNNNNNNNNNNNNNNNNNNNNNNNNNNNNNNNNNNNNNNNNNNNNNNNNNNNNNNNNNNNNNNNNNNNNNNNNNNNNNNNNNNNNNNNNNNNNNNNNNNNNNNNNNNNNNNNNNNNNNNNNNNNNNNNNNNNNNNNNNNNNNNNNNNNNNNNNNNNNNNNNNNNNNNNNNNNNACAUAAAUGGUUGUGCAUAAUUACUAUAUGCUUGCAUGUUAUGCUCUUAAUCCCCUCUAUUCCCAUCAAUUCAAUCACACAAGCAUUUAACAUAUUGGAACAUAUUAAAAAUUCCAACUCACUUUAACAUAUCACAACACAUACACACCUUCAUAUAACAUAACAUAAACACAAAUAUAAGUACUCAAACUUAUGUCCCAAUGGUCUAAUCCCCGCUCUGAUACCAAAAACUAUAACACCCCAACUCAAACUUCCCAUUGAAUAGCAAUAUAUAUAUAUAUAUAUAUAACUUUAUAAACAUAAUUUACUACAUAGUUACAAUAUACAUUCAUACAAUUUAAGUGGCAUGACAUACUUAAUAUAUAUAAGAAAUAUUUAUACAGUAGUUUAAUUCACACAAGUUCCCAAAAUGCCCCAAUGCUUUAGAUAACUCCUUUGGCCCACCUAAUAAUAUUGACUGAUGCAAAAAGAGCAAUGCACAACUAAGGCUAUCUACAACUGCACUAACCUGAAAAAAAAAAUUGCUAAGGAAUGAGCUAGCGACUCAAUAAGCAUUUAAUUUACUAAACUAUAGUAUAUUAGGCUAGAA